rnacentral:tRNA from 1 species
GGGGAUUUAGCUCAGUGGUAGAGCGCUUGCCUAGCAAGCACAAGGUACUGGGUUUAGUCCUCA